UACGUAGGUGGCAAGCGUUGUCCGGAAUUAUUGGGCGUAAAGCGCGCGCAGGCGGUCCUUUAAGUCUGAUGUGAAAGCCCAUGGCUCAACCGUGGAGGGUCAUUGGAAACUGGGGGACUUGAGUGCAGAAGAGGAGAGUGGAAUUCCACGUGUAGCGGUGAAAUGCGUAGAGAUGUGGAGGAACACCAGUGGCGAAGGCGACUCUUUGGUCUGUAACUGACGCUGAGGAGCGAAAGCAUGGGGAGCGAACAGG
rnacentral:rRNA from 1 species